rnacentral:rRNA from 1 species
CAAGCUGUAAAUGAUGUCUGCUAAGUGUAUCGUUGAAUAUACGAUGUGCUGGAACCUAACGGGUUAAGCAGACCGCCUGGGUAGUAUACUCGCAAGAGCGAAACUCAAAGGGAUAGGCGGGGGAGCACACAAGCGGUGGAUUGUCUCGAUUAAUUGGAUAGUAAGCCAUAAAUCUUACCCAGACUUGACAUGCAUUGUGUCGUAGGGUAAUGCCUACUAAUAUAGCAAUAUAUACUUUGCACAGAUGG